GAUGAACGCUGGCGGCGUGCUUAACACAUGCAAGUCGAACGGAAAGGCCGCUGCUUGCAGGGGUACUCGAGUGGCGAACGGGUGAGUAACACGUGGGUGAUCUGCCCUGCACUUCGGGAUAAGCCUGGGAAACUGGGUCUAAUACCGGAUAGGACAAUGGUUUGGAUGCUGUUGUGGAAAGUUUUUCGGUGUGGGAUGAGCUCGCGGCCUAUCAGCUUGUUGGUGGGGUAAUGGCCUACCAAGGCGUCGACGGGUAGCCGGCCUGAGAGGGUGUACGGCCACAUUGGGACUGAGAUACGGCCCAGACUCCUACGGGAGGCAGCAGUGGGGAAUAUUGCACAAUGGGCGCAAGCCUGAUGCAGCGACGCCGCGUGGGGGAUGACGGCCUUCGGGUUGUAAACUCCUUUCGCUAGGGACGAAGCGUUUUUGUGACGGUACCUGGAGAAGAAGCACCGGCUAACUACGUG
rnacentral:rRNA from 1 species